CAAAGUCUAUUUGGCUCUCAAACUUGGCUGUCCAUCAGAAUCACCUAGAGGGCUUUUAAAGCUCUGGUGCCCCGCUUCCACCCAGGCCAGUUACGUCAGACUCUCUGGGGGUGGACCUGGGGAUCUGGGACCUUUUGAAGCUCCAGCCCCCUCCCCCACCCUUCCCCACCAGAAGCCCAGGCUGGGAGGUAGAGAUGUACCUGAACUCUGGCCCUUCCUGCUACCUGCCCCAGCCUAAUCCUGGCUGACCCCUGAGGGCUCCACCAGAAUACUGUCCUGGGGCUUAAUGAGCAGCUCCUGCCUCAAGCACCUCCAAAAUGGAAAUAAAGGGACAAAGACAACAGAAGAACAGACAACAGCCACAGAAUCUUGGAAGCCAAAAUCGGAAUGACCAUAUUCAGACAGAUGGCUCUUUACUGCCUGUGGCUUCUGGUUUUCCUGCCUGAAUAGAACUUAGAACCAGGCUGCCAGGGGCCUCCCAUGCACCCCCCGAGGCCAAGUCCACGCAGAGGUAGGCGGGUGCUGCGGUCUGGCCAGGCCAGAGGACCAGCACCCCUCCAACCAUCCUUCCUGUCUACUCAGCAGAGCGGUCACUGCCACUUCCUCGGCUGCGCUUGAUGGGAAUGAGGGGUUCAAAAGCCACGGUGUCCCAGGAAGAAGGGAAGAGGCAUGGGAACUGAGAAGUAGAAGAGACAUUUGACUAUGUGUUGAGAUGUGAAUAAAGGCAAGAUAUUGGUCUCUACCCAGGAUACUGUGUGGAGUACUAGACACUUAGGCAGGGGACAGGGUUGGAUGCAGUGAGCAGACCCCUGUGGGGGGGUGCUGGUAAGUCACUCCUCCCUCUGUCUUCUCUGUCCUCAUCGAAAACUAAGGGACUAAACACCAAGGUCUCUUCUGUCCCUAAUCUUCCAUGACUCUCUGAUCUGUAUGAGCCCAAGUCUGGUGGGCUCGGCACGAAGGGUAGGACUCUUCGUGCCUCCCUCCAUCCCCAGAUCUUCCCCCUGCCUGUGAAAGUCCACUCAGAUCCCUGCUCCCUUGGACACAGACGACCAAGCGUGAUACUUGCCAGAUGGUAGGGCUACUUUCUGGAAUCGUGAAACGGGGGAGCCGGAGCCAGCUAGCAAGCCCGACAGGGAAAGGGUGCUGGGGCUUGAAGCCCAGGGUGAGCAGAGAUCGCGAGGGAGCUGCUGCUGGAGGCAGACAGGAGAAAAGCCAGCCACAGAGAGGAAAAGGGAGCCGGCACAGAGGGGAAAGAGGUGCCAUCAGAGAGACCUCACAGCUCACCAGAGACAGGAAGAGCUCCUACUUCCAGAGACUGCCUUGGUUCAAGGUCAAAUGUACUCAGAAAAAGACCCCUUACACUGAGGCUCUGGAGAGGCUUUUGGGGGAGGGGGGCACAAGAUCCUGAACGAACAAAGAAACACCUUCCUUAUUCUGUGGGUGGAACCGAGGUCACCUCUGCAGACCCGUCGUCGUGCACGUGUUAGGAAGGCUCCCUCCCGUGGUCCUGAGCACUGCCGCUCCACUGCUCUUCCCGCCAAGAGGUGAAGCGGUCUCUCCUCCCGUGAAUCCAAGCUCGGCAAGGUGAGUUAUUUUGGCCAGUGAAACCCUAGCAGAUGUCAGCAGGGGCUUGAAACCCACUUGUGCAUGAGGACUGCCCUCUCUCUGGCCACGGUUGGGAGCAGAGACUAUGAUGUGGGUGGGUCUGAGCCGGCUGAAGAAGCCACAUGGAGAACAGAGGUCUGUCGGCCUUCAGCUUGCCGACUGCUGGACAGGUGAGUGAGAAUGUGCCAGGCCGUCCACAGCCCUAACCAAACCAUCAGGUGACUACGGCUGCAUGCAUGACCCCAGGCAAGACCAGUGGAAGACCCCCAACUGAGCCCAGCCAAACUGCUGACCUACAGAAUUGUGAGCUGAGAAAGGGGUGGCUGUUUUGAGCCACUAGAGCGUAGGGGUGGUUUACUAUUCUACCUGAUACGGUCCCUGCGUAAGCGAGCCUCCAACAUCCCCCCCGCCCCUGCCAAAUAUAGAGUCGGGCCCUGGAGGGAGACUCUGGUGGCUCUCAGGGGUGUGUGGCAGAAGCUGUCAUCCCCAACAACAAACCAUCCUCCCCCUUUUUCUUUUUAGGAAAGGAACUUUUUAGUAACGGCACCAGUCCAACGAACUAGAGACUCUUUUUUGCAGCUAAGUACGAUGACAUUUUUACUGAUGGAAUGGAAUGAAAGGGAUGUGUGCAACUUCUGUGUUACUUCUUUAAAAGGAAUUUGCUUGCUCUACACUUCCUCCGUUCCCCCUUCCUGGAGGCUGGAAUGCAGAGCUGGGGCCAGGAGGGUGGACCCCUGUGGCAGGGAGGCAGGACCUCGUAAGGUGGUGGCUCCUGUUGCCUAACACAGCUGACUGUGGGGAGCAUUGUCACAAAAGGGGGGCUGCUGUGAAGGCAAGUGCUGGGCAGACAGGAGUGUGUCCACCACAAGAGGCUCCAAGCUCUCUCCCAACCCCUUUCUCUUGUCCCUCAGCCUCCUCCAGCUCCUACAGAAGGGACCGAGAGAAAAGGGGGUGAGCAGAGGAAGCAGCAUGUGCAAAGGUCCAGAGGGGAAAACGGUCACGCUAUGUUUGGUGCACUGAAAGCAGCUUGGAGUGGU